AUUGAACGCUGGCGGCAUGCCUUACACAUGCAAGUCGAACGGCAGCACGGGAGCAAUCCUGGUGGCGAGUGGCGAACGGGUGAGUAAAGUAUCGGAACGUGCCCAGUCGUGGGGGAUAACGUAGCGAAAGUUACGCUAAUACCGCAUACGAUCUACGGAUGAAAGCGGGGGAUCGCAAGACCUCGCGCGAUUGGAGCGGCUGAUAUCAGAUUAGGUAGUUGGUGGGGUAAAGGCUCACCAAGCCGACGAUCUGUAGCUGGUCUGAGAGGACGACCAGCCACACUGGGACUGAGACACGGCCCAGACUCCUACGGGAGGCAGCAGUGGGGAAUUUUGGACAAUGGGCGCAAGCCUGAUCCAGCCAUGCCGCGUGCAGGAUGAAGGCCUUCGGGUUGUAAACUGCUUUUGUACGGAACGAAAAGGUUUGGCCUAAUAAGCUGGACCCAUGACGGUACCGUAAGAAUAGGCACCGACUAACUACGUGCCAGCCGCCGCAGUAA
rnacentral:rRNA from 1 species